UGGGGAAUAUUGCACAAUGGGCGCAAGCCUGAUGCAGCCAUGCCGCGUGUAUGAAGAAGGCCUUCGGGUUGUAAAGUACUUUCAGCGGGGAGGAGGGGAGUAAAGUUAAUACCUUUGCUCAUUGACGUUACCCGCAGAAGAAGCACCGUCUAACGCCGUGCCAGCAGCCGCGGUAAUACGGAGGGUGCAAGCGUGAAUCGGAAUUACUGGGCGUAAAGCGCACGCAGGCGGUUUGUUAAGUCAGAUGUGAAAUCCCCGGGCUCAACCUGGGAACUGCAUCUGAUACUGGCAAGCUUGAGUCUCGUAGAGGGGGGUAGAAUUCCAGGUGUAGCGGUGAAAUGCGUAGAGAUCUGGAGGAAUAACGGUGGCGAAGGCGGCCCCCUGGACGAAGACUGACGCUCAGGUGCGAAAGCGUGGGGAGCAAACAGG
rnacentral:rRNA from 1 species